rnacentral:rRNA from 1 species
UACGGGAGGCAGCAGUGGGGAAUAUUGGACAAUGGGCGCAAGCCUGAUCCAGCCAUGCCGCGUGUGUGAAGAAGGCCUUCGGGUUGUAAAGCACUUUUGUCCGGAAAGAAAAGCUUAGGGUUAAUAACCUUGAGUCAUGACGGUACCGGAAGAAUAAGCACCGGCUAACUUCGUGCCAGCAGCCGCGGUAAUACGAAGGGUGCAAGCGUUACUCGGAAUUACUGGGCGUAAAGCGUGCGUAGGUGGUUUUGUUAAGUCUGAUGUGAAAGCCCUGGGCUCAACCUGGGAAUGGCAUUGGAAACUGGCUUACUAGAGUGCGGUAGAGGGGUGUGGAAUUCCCGGUGUAGCAGUGAAAUGCGUAGAUAUCGGGAGGAACAUCUGUGGCGAAGGCGACACCCUGGACCAGCACUGACACUGAGGCACGAAAGCGUGGGGAGCAAACAGGGAUUAGAUACC